rnacentral:lncRNA from 1 species
GGAGAAAAAGUACUCGUUGAAAAGUUAUACUGUAUGUACGCAACAGAGUAGUCUAUUGUUGGUCCGGUUUUGGUUUUUGUGAUCUUUGACAUCGAUGCGUUUCAAAUUUACACACUCGGGGCAUAAUAAAAUAAUAUAAUUAGGUUUUACUCUUUGUUCGCAAGAAUGAGAAAAAGUACUCAUUGCAAAGUUAUAAUCUUAUGGAGCAACUGAGCAGUCUAAUGUUUUUCCGGUUUUUGUUCUUCCGAACAUUGACAUCGAUAUGUUGCAAAUUUACACUCUCGGGGCAUAAUAGAAUAAUAAAAUUAGGUUUUACUCUUUGUUCGUUUGAACGAUAAAAAGUACUCAUUGCAAAGUUAUAAUCUCAUGGAGCAACUGAGCAGUCUAAUAUUUUUCCAGUUUUGGUACUUGUGAACGUUGACAUCGAUAAGUUGAAAAUUUACACUCUCGGGGAAUAAUGGACCAAUAUAAUUAGGUUUUACCCUUUGUUCGGUUGAAGGAGAAAAUGUACUCGUUGAAAAGUUAUACUAUUAGGGCGCAACAGAGAAGUCUAAUGUUGGUCCGGUUUUAGUUCUUGUGAACGUUGACAUCGAUACGUUGCAAAUUUACACUCUCGGGGCAUAUUAAAAUAUUAUAAUUAGGUUUUACUCGUUGUUCGUUUGAAUGAGAAAAAGUACUCAUUGCAAAGUUAUAAUCUUAUGGAGCAACUGAGCAGUCUAAUAUUUUUCCGGUUUUGGUUCUUCUAACAUUGACAUCGAUACGUUGCAAAUUUACACUCUCGGGGCAUAAUAGAACAAUAUAAUUAGGAUUUACUCUUUGUUCGAUUGAAUGAGAAAAAGUGCUCGUUGCAAAGUUAUACUGUUAGGGCGCCACUGAGUAGUCUUCUGUAGGUCUGGUUUUGGUUUAUGUGCAUGUUGACAUUGAUACAUUGCAAAUUUAUACAUUCGGGGCAUAAUAUAACAAUAUAAUUAGGUUUUACUCUUCGUUCGGUUGAAUGAGAAAAAGUACUCGUUGCCAAGUUAUACUGUUAGGGCGCAACUGAGUAGUCUAAUGUAUGUCCGGUUUUGGUUAUUGUGAACGUUGACAUUGAUACGUUGUAAAUUUACACUCUCGGGGCAUAAUAGAACAAUAUAAUUAGGUUUUACUCUUUGUUCGGUUGAAUGAGAAAAAGUACUCGUUGCAAAGUUAUACUGUUAGGGCGCAACUGAGUGGGCUACAGUUGGUCUGGUUUUGGUUUAUGUGAAAGUUGACAUCGAUAAGUUGCAAAUUUACACUCUCGGGGCAUAAUAGAAUAAUAUAAAUAGGUUUAACUCUUUGUUCGAUUGAAUGAGAAAAAGCACUGUUUGCAAAGUUAUACUGUUAGGGCGCAACUAAGAAGGCUACUGUUGGUCUGGUUUUGGUUAACGUGAACGUUGACAUCGAUACGUUGCUAAUUUACACACUCGGGGCAUAAUAAAACAAUAUAAUUAGGUUUUACUUUUCGUUCGGUUGAAUGAGAAAAAGUACUCGUUGCCAAGUUAUACUGUUAGGGCGCAACUGAGUUGUCUAAUGUUUGUCCGGUUUUGGUUAUUGUGAACGUUGACAUUGAUACGUUGCACAUUUACACUCUCGGGGCAUAAUAGACCAAUAUAAUUGGGUUUUACUCAUUGUUCGGUUGAAGAUGAAAAAGUACUCGUUGAGAAGUUAUACUGUUAGUGCGCAACAGAGUAGUCUAAUGUUGGUCCGGUUUUGGUUUUUGUGAACGUUGACAUCGAUGCGUUGCAAAUUUACACUCUCGGGGCAUAAUAAAACAAUAUAAUUAG